GAUGAACGCUGGCGGCGUGCUUAACACAUGCAAGUCGAACGAAGCAUUUAGGACAGAUUACUUCGGUUUGAAGUUCUUUAUGACUGAGUGGCGGACGGGUGAGUAACGCGUGGGUAACCUGCCUUGUACUGGGGGAUAGCAGCUGGAAACGGCUGGUAAUACCGCAUAAGCGCACAAUGUUGCAUGACAUGGUGUGAAAAACUCCGGUGGUAUAAGAUGGACCCGCGUCUGAUUAGCUAGUUGGUGAGAUAACAGCCCACCAAGGCGACGAUCAGUAGCCGACCUGAGAGGGUGACCGGCCACAUUGGGACUGAGACACGGCCCAGACUCCUACGGGAGGCAGCAGUGGGGAAUAUUGCACAAUGGAGGAAACUCUGAUGCAGCGACGCCGCGUGAGUGAAGAAGUAAAUCGUUAUGUAAAGCUCUAUCAGCAGGGAAGAUAGUGACGGUACCUGACUAAGAAGCUCCGGCUAAAUACGUG
rnacentral:rRNA from 1 species